GCUGGGUGUGGUGGUGCACACCUGUAAUCGCAGCUGCUUGGGAGGCUGAGGCAGGAAGAUGGCAAGUUUGAGGCCAGCUUGAGAAAUUUAGGAAGACUCUGUCUCAA
rnacentral:sRNA from 1 species